rnacentral:tRNA from 1 species
UGCAAGCAAGCACAUACUGUAAAUAUGUUAACUGAGUCUCUCUCGCUUGUAA